CCCUUCGCCGGGUUCAAAUGCCGACACAACACGGUCGGCCAUUGACCCGGAAGUGAUAAUGUGCCUGAAAUCACCAUAGUUACUGGGCCUACUGCAACGCGAUGUCUUUAGUCAUUGUCAGUACCAGUGGAACUAGGAACUACACCAUGAACUACACCAUGUAUUUUUUUGCCGAGAUACUGACUCACCAGUAGUUGGACAGAUACAGGUGUAUUUUUACCACAAUCAAUUGAAACACCUUGACUGCACCCAGGUCUCCGAAGACAGAUCUCCAUUUAACUAAUUAUGUGACUUCUAAAACCAAUUGGCUGCACCAGUGAUGAUUUGCUCUCGCUGCUCAAUGAUGAGAGCAGAUUUCAUCUUUACAAAGUGAGUGUAAUCCUGGAGCUCAUCUUCUGACAAAUGCUUAACCAGAAUAUCAUGGACAGCGCGUUCCCUGCGAUCCACGUGUUCCUUUAGCUCUUUGGCCUCUUCAAGUUGUGCUGGCACAGUUUGCACUGAUGUCUUCUAAGAGGCUCUUCUGGGCUUCAUGCAAUACACUGAGUUUCCUGCUAAGACUGCAGAUCAAUUGUUGCUGUGGAAAUCAGGGAGAAAAAAUAUGGAGUAGAAAAGUAUAUGAAAAAAUGUUUUCUCCAAGAAGCACAAGUUAUCCCUGAGCAGAAGCAGCAUGUGCAAACCUGGAGCAAUAUAACAGCAGUUUGCUAGAAAAGAAUUCCAAAGAAAGCCUGUAUUACACCUCCCUUUCAUUAU